UUGAACGCUGGCGGCAUGCCUUACACAUGCAAGUCGAACGGUAACGCGGGGCAACCUGGCGACGAGUGGCGAACGGGUGAGUAAUGCAUCGGAACGUGCCCAGUAGUGGGGGAUAGCCCGGCGAAAGCCGGAUUAAUACCGCAUACGACCUACGGGUGAAAGCGGGGGACUCGCCAGAGCCUCGCGCUAUUGGAGCGGCCGAUGUCAGAUUAGGUAGUUGGUGGGGUAAAGGCCUACCAAGCCGACGAUCUGUAGCUGGUCUGAGAGGACGACCAGACACACUGGGACUGAGACACGGCCCAGACUCCUACGGGAGGAAGCAGUGGGGAAUUUUGGACAAUGGGCGCAAGCCUGAUCCAGCCAUGCCGCGUGCGGGAAGAAGGCCUUCGGGUUGUAAACCGCUUUUGUCAGGGAAGAAACGCUCUGGGCUAAUACCCUGGGGUAAUGACGGUACCUGAAGAAUAAGCACCGGCUAACUACGU
rnacentral:rRNA from 1 species